rnacentral:rRNA from 1 species
UACGUAGGUGACAAGCGUUGUCCGGAUUUACUGGGCGUAAAGAGCGCGCAGGCGGUCGUUCAAGUCGAGUGUGAAAGCCCCCGGCUCAACUGGGGAGGGUCAUUCGAUACUGAUCGACUCGAAGACAGGAGAGGGUAGUGGAAUUCCCGGUGUAGUGGUGAAAUGCGUAGAUAUCGGGAGGAACACCAGUGGCGAAGGCGACUACCUGGCCUGUUCUUGACGCUGAGGCGCGAAAGCUAGGGGAGCAAACGGG